rnacentral:rRNA from 1 species
ACCCGCACAAGCAGCGGAGCGUGUGGUUUAAUUCGUUGCUACACGAAGAACCUUACCUGGGUUUGACAUAUAGGUUGUAGGGAACUGAAAAGGGACCGACCCUUCGGGGAGCCUAUACAGGUGUUGCAUGGCUGUCGUCAGCUCGUGUCGUGAGAUGUUCGGUUAAGUCCGCUAACGAGCGCAACCCUCGUCGUAUGUUAUAUGUGUCAUACGAGACUGCCGGUAAGAAGCCGGAGGAAGGUGAGGAUGAUGUCAAGUCAGCAUGACCUUUAUAUCCAGGGCUACACACACGCUACAAUGGUCUGUACAAUGGGUAGCCAAGCCGCGAGGCGGAGCCAAUCCUGAAAGCAGGCCUCAGUUCAGAUUGCAGUCUGCAACUCGACUGCAUGAAGCCGGAGUUGCUAGUAACCGCAGGUCAGCAAUACUGCGGUGAAUACGUUCCCGGGUCUU